rnacentral:rRNA from 1 species
CCCGGUGGCAUUGCCGGAGGGGCCACACCCGUUCCCAUCCCGAACACGGAAGUUAAGCCCUCCUGGGCCGAUGGUACUGCGCUGGCAACGGCGCGGGAGAGUAGGUCGCUGCCGGGU